CGGUUCCGGGGCCCCCCGGGAGCCCGGGCGAGCCGGCUCCGAACCGGCUGAGCCCCCACGGCGCCCCGCCCCCCACUCCGUCCCGGGCCGGGCAGACGCAGGCCUGUGAGGAGGCCAAGCGCCCGGCGAGGGCGUGAUGACGUCAUCGCGCCGAGGCGCGGGGGAGGGGGCGCCCGGGAGCCGUGCGGAGUCCGUCGUCGCUAUAGCAACCGGGACAGCCACCUGAAGGAUUCCGGCGUUCAGUCCACCUGAGGCAGCGGCAGAGCGAGUCCCCGGACUCGGCCUCUCGACUGAGGCCUGAGGGGAAAAAGCUGAGGGACACAGCGUGCCGGCUUCGCCUGCUGACCUUGGCGCCAGUUUCUGAAGGACGCGACUGCAGGUGCAGACGACACUUGGCAUCCUUGACCUUGAAGGAGGCCCGCUGUUUAACCAACAGCACUGCAGCCUCUAGAGGGAUGGCAGAAGCUCAGCACAGCAUGGGCCCCAGUACCAGGGAUCGAACUCACGACUGCCUGCUUGCAAGGCAGGCGCUUAUGCCACUGAGCUAAAUCCCCAGCCCCACUGCUCUUACUUCACAGAAGCAGGAACUGCGGAUCAGAGAGGACCUGAGGUCACCUGGUUAGAGCGGGGCAGAGCCAGGAUUCAAGCUCAGGUCUGUGGGAGCCGGACAAAAGCCACAAUCUGAACCAUGACGGAGCAGAACAUGUUCAUUCCUUCUAAAAGAGAAGAGGAGAGGGGUGAGUGUUCUGCACCUCUGGAUGCCUGCUCUGGGUGGAACUGGAAGGAGCCGCUGGAGGCUUAGGAAAGAGGGAAGAUUCCACGGUGCUUUCACACAAGAGGAGACUGUGCUCGCUGUCCCGGGCCUCUUGCCUUAUCCACAGAGCUGGGAGCUAAGGAGCAGAGUUCAGAGCCAUUCUGAACAAGUGUAAGAAGGAUGAAUAAGGGGUGAGCAUUAAGCCACCCCACAGAACAUGUGUGUGAUCUCUCUGGCCUUCAAACAAGUGGUAACAGUUGGCCAGUGCUGUGCCAGGGACUCGGGAUUUAGGAAGGACCCACUUCACUUCCCUUAGAGGACUUACAUUCAACCUGGAAUGAUGUAACAAUCAGAUUUAUAAAGUGAGUGGGGAGUGAUUGGUGUGGGUAAUUACCGUGCCACAGAAAUCUAGGACGUUUCCACUCCAUGCAGGGCAGUAUAUGGAGGUAUUAAGACAGUUCCUAUCUUCAGGAUGUCACAGUCCAGUGGAGGGGAUGAGCCACAGAAACCAGCAAAACAUACCCUGCUCUUCCUGCCCACACCCCCAGUCUGGCCAAGGAAGCUCUGGGGAGCAGCAGCUUGGAGAAACUCGGACAUCUAUGUUUAGGAACAACACCUGCCUCAAGUCUGCACUAGAGGAUAUCCCAGUGUAGCCUUGAUCCCAUGUUGACCCUAUCCCCAAAUGAAUUCCCCCAGACCUCUCUCUAACAGAGUGUCUUUCCAUGAAGCCAGAGGGUGGGACUGAGCUGAGGGCCUGGGAGGGAGCUGACAGGGUUGAAAAGGAAGAAUGAAAUUAGGGGUCCUAAAGAAGAGCUAAGAAGAAGAGCCUGGGGGUGGGCGCUGGGCCUUCCCAGCUCAUGGGCUACCUUCUGGCCGCUGGAUACAGGUGUGCUGGUUGUCACUGAGGAAGAAGCCUUCUCGGCAGUGGCACUCGUAGCUGCCCAUCAUGUUGACACAGCUCUGCUGACAGCCGCCAUUGCCCUCGGCGCAUUCAUCCACAUCUGUGCAGGACAGGUGACCAGUGGGGCCGUGGAGCGCAGGCGGGGGUCCAGGGUGUGCCCUGGGCUUCAGCAACGAAGGCUGAGGGAGUCCUGAGACACAACCCCAUCCCGCACCUACACCAGGAAGUUCUUGCUCCCUUGUCAGCUAAUCCCGCACUGAGAGAGAUCCGGGGAACCAGGCAAGCGUGCAUGUGCUUAGGGGUUUGAGCCUUGCUCUUCUGGGGGAAGCUUCACUUCCCUUUCUCCCGCUGAGGGCAGAGGUCAGGAGACGAGGGGCGACCAAGAUAAGGAUGGAGAUGGGUCACACUGACCCGGGAGGUAACCAGGGGAAGCAACUGUGGUAAGUAGCCAGGGAACAUGGAAGUGGUUCUGUGUUCAGGGGGAGCUAUGGCCAUGUUGCCGAGGUUGAAGGCAGGGUGGGGUGAGAUAGUGAACCUCAACUCCUUGUGGGGUCGGGACCGUUUCCGUGGACAGGCCACAGCCCUGUCUGUCCCUCCCCCCACGCCUGGGCUUGCUGCCAUAUUCCUUAGCCUUUCUCCUAUUUUGGUUUAACAAAACAACUUCUGGCAGCUUGGCAAGAUGGGAUGAGAGAAGAGCUGCCAGGCCACACCCUAGAUGCGGGGGUGGGGGGAGCAGUAGGCUCUUACCCCAAACCACCCCACUGUGUCCCGGCCCCAGGUUUAUCCUGGGGCUCCCACUGCAAGGCCUUGACUCCAUCUCUACUCAAGUUCGCACUGGGCCAGGAGGCAUCAAGGAGAUGGGAUACCAUGUGGAGCAGCUAGAGCCUGGGCUUCCCGGGGCUCAUUUGUCCUUCCCUCCCCUCCCCUCCCCUCCCGGCCAAGGGCAGAGCUGGUCACCAUUCGGCUGGCUCUGGACCAGUAGAAGCACCUGUUGGCAAAGCCAAGGCGGUGCACUUUGCUCCAUCCUCGUCUCUGUCCCAUCUUCUAUCUCACCUCAUCCUUCUCUUCUUGCUCUUGCCCUAUCCUACAUUCCACGUGACUUUGUUACUCUAGUCAAGACCUUCAAGUUUUUGUAGGGAAACAGAGGCUCAGGGCACGGUCAGCUUUCUCAAGGUCCCCUGAGCUGAAGGUAGGGUUGAGCCUUGACCUUAAACCUCGAUAGACCGUCUCCAACCGCCCCACACCUGGUCAUUGUCUCGUCCCUCUGAUUGCUCCUUUCCAAACACUUGCGGGGAAAAGAGAAUUGGUGAGCGUCAGGGUGUGGAAAGGAAAGCAAAGCACUCAGAAGUUGAUGUUCACACUGUGCAAGUGUCACCGCUUCUCCCCCAACGAGGUCACCAGGGGUGACUCAGAAAGAGAAAGGGCGCCCUGCAUUGAGAGCUGGAGUGGUGGCCAGGGCUGGGGGCCUGGGCCGGGAGGAGAGACCCACGGCAGUCCAAGGAUGGGGUGGCAGGUAGAGGCAGCUCUGCGGUAUGAAAGCUGUUUUGAGGCCAGCAGGAGGCGAACUCCUAACUCGCGUAUUUAGUCAGGGCAGGGUAGGGCCCACCACAGCCUACUUUUCUGGGCACCACUCCUCUUCCUCUCCUGUCCUAUACUCCCAUUCCCUAUUUCUGUUUUCGAACCAAAGAGAAAAGAGUUUGGGAGAGGGCCCAUGGGUUCAGAUCUCCAGUCCUUCGCCACUACAGGCUUCAGCUGUUGUACUUGAGGAAGAAUGUAGCCUGGUCUCGGUAACUUUUCAGUGUGGCAGAGACCAAAGUUCUGUUCAGUUCCUUAGAGACUGUUUCUGAUUUGGAAAAGCAGAUCAGGUUAGAUGGAGGCCUCCAAAGCAAGGAGAGGGUGAGACAGAGUGGAGGAAGAGUUGGAAGAAAACCCGCCUGUCAGGACCAGCAGGCAUCAUCUUCAGCAGCAUCAUUCCUCCCUUCACUGAGUGCUGCUGUGUGCUCAGGAGUGUCCAGGGCUCUUACACAUGUUCUCCAUGGUGAUCUGCCCAGCAGCCUUUGCGUGAAGUAUUACCACCCCAUCUUAGUGAAGAAGAAGCUGCCUUUCUGAGAGAUGCAUUCAUUUUCCCAAGGCCCCACAAUCAGCUGUGCAAUUGGGAUCUGUCUGGACCCAUUGUGCUUUACCAGUCUGGCCAGCCCUUACCCUUUUCUCCCAGCCCUCUCCCAGGAAAACUCUCUAGCAGCAUUUCCUCUGAUGUUUCUCAUUCAGCAGCAGGACUAUUGUGUCCUCAGUGGCCAGUCCUGAAGAGAACACUGACCUUUUCCUCACUUGAGGGAGUGCAGCUCUUUGUGAUCAUGUCCCUUUCUUGCUUGGGAAGUGCUGAAAACACCUCUUUCCCUACAACAGACCCACUAACCAGCCCUCCUGCUUACCCAGACAGUUGUGUCCAUCAUGUGCCAGGUGAAAUCCAUCAUAGCAGGUGCAUCGGUAGUUACCGGGGAUGUUGACGCAGUCGUGCACGCAGCCUGCAUUGUCCUCUCGUUCGCACUCAUCCACAUCUGUGGGCAUAGAGAAGCCAAGACAGCCACAUCCACCUGCACAUCCUCACCGACCAUCCUGGGCUCAGCCUUGUGGUGGGUUUGUUUGUUUUUUGUAGUAUUGGGGAAUGAACCCAGGGCCUGUGAAUGGUAGGUGUCAUGGUUUAUGUCUGUGGCCCUCAGCCCUCAUGAGUUUACACUGUGCAUUUGUGAUUGGUUCAUUGUCUAGUGCUUGGAUUGAUGGUGUCAGUGCCACACCCACAUGGGGUGGAGCCAGGGUAUAAUGUAAUGGCAGGAAGGUGUGUCUUGCUCUCUUUUGCCUAUUUCGGCCUUUCUGUUUGCAACUCCCUUGAACUGGGGCCCAGCCAUGCCACCCUGCCUUGGAGCCAACUGAGUAUGGACUGAAACCUCCAAAAACUGUAAGAAAUAAACCUCUCCUUUCCCAA